GUGAACGCUGGCGGUAGGCCUAACACAUGCAAGUCGAACGGCAGCACAGUAAGAGCUUGCUCUUACGGGUGGCGAGUGGCGGACGGGUGAGGAAUACAUCGGAAUCUACUUUUUCGUGGGGGAUAACGUAGGGAAACUUACGCUAAUACCGCAUACGACCUACGGGUGAAAGUAGGGGAUCUUCGGACCUUGCGCGAUUGAAUGAGCCGAUGUCGGAUUAGCUAGUUGGCGGGGUAAAGGCCCACCAAGGCGACGAUCCGUAGCUGGUCUGAGAGGAUGAUCAGCCACACUGGAACUGAGACACGGUCCAGACUCCUACGGGAGGCAGCAGUGGGGAAUAUUGGACAAUGGGCGCAAGCCUGAUCCAGCCAUACCGCGUGGGUGAAGAAGGCCUUCGGGUUGUAAAGCCCUUUUGUUGGGAAAGAAAAGCAGCAGGUUAAUACCCCGCUGUUCUGACGGUACCCAAAGAAUAAGCACCGGCUAACUUCAUG
rnacentral:rRNA from 1 species